rnacentral:rRNA from 1 species
CCUACGGGUGGCUGCAGUGGGGAAUAUUAGACAAUGGGGGGAACCCUGAUCCAGCCAUGCCGCGUGUGUGAAGAAGGCCCUCGGGUUGUAAAGCACUUUCAGUGAGGAAGAACGCCUGGUGGUUAAUACCCAUCAGGAAAGACAUCACUCACAGAAGAAGCACCGGCUAACUCCGUGCCAGCAGCCGCGGUAAUACGGAGGGUGCGAGCGUUAAUCGGAAUUACUGGGCGUAAAGCGCGCGUAGGUGGCUUGAUAAGCCGGUUGUGAAAGCCCCGGGCUCAACCUGGGAACGGCAUCCGGAACUGUCAAGCUAGAGUGCAGGAGAGGAAGGUAGAAUUCCCGGUGUAGCGGUGAAAUGCGUAGAGAUCGGGAGGAAUACCAGUGGCGAAGGCGGCCUUCUGGACUGACACUGACACUGAGGUGCGAAAGCGUGGGUAGCAAACAGGAUUAGAUACCCUUGUAGUC